UACGUAGGGUGCAAGCGUUAAUCGGAAUUAUUGGGCGUAAAGAGCUCGUAGGCGGUUCGUCGCGUCGGCUGUGAAAACCUGAGGCUCAACCUCAGGCCUGCAGUCGAUACGGGCGGACUUGAGUACUGCAGGGGAGACUGGAAUUCCUGGUGUAGCGGUGAAAUGCGCAGAUAUCAGGAGGAACACCGAUGGCGAAGGCAGGUCUCUGGGCAUUAACUGACGCUGAGGAGCGAAAGCAUGGGGAGCGAACAGG
rnacentral:rRNA from 1 species